rnacentral:piRNA from 1 species
UGCAGAUGAUCAGAAUGGUGGGUGCAAGU